rnacentral:rRNA from 1 species
GACGAACGCUGGCGGCGUGCUUAACACAUGCAAGUCGAACGGAAAGGCCCUGCUUUUGUGGGGUGCUCGAGUGGCGAACGGGUGAGUAACACGUGAGUAACCUGCCCUUGACUUUGGGAUAACUUCAGGAAACUGGGGCUAAUACCGGAUAGGAGCUCCUGCUGCAUGGUGGGGGUUGGAAAGUUUCGGCGGUUGGGGAUGGACUCGCGGCUUAUCAGCUUGUUGGUGGGGUAGUGGCUUACCAAGGCUUUGACGGGUAGCCGGCCUGAGAGGGUGACCGGCCACAUUGGGACUGAGAUACGGCCCAGACUCCUGCGGGAGGCAGCAGUGGGGAAUAGUGCACAAUGGGCGGAAGCCUGAUGCAGCAACGCCGCGUGCGGGAUGACGGCCUUCGGGUUGUAAACCGCUUUCGCCUGUGACGAAGCGUGAGUGACGGUAAUGGGUAAAGAAGCACCGGCUAACUACGUG